rnacentral:rRNA from 1 species
GACAGAGGUGCCAAGCGUUAGGCGGAAUCACUGGGCUUAAAGCGUGUGUAGGCGGAUUUGUAAGUACCUUGUGAAAUCCCACGGCUCAACCGUGGAACUGCUCGGUAUACUGCUUAUCUUGAGCCACUUAGGGGCUACCGGAACAAAUGGUGGAGCGGUGAAAUGCGUAGAUAUCAUUUGGAACGCCAAUGGUGAAAACAGGUAGCUGGGAGUGUGCUGACGCUGAGGCGCGAAAGCCAGGGGAGCGAACGGG